AGCGAACGCUGGCGGCAGGCCUAACACAUGCAAGUCGAACGGAUCCUUCGGGAUUAGUGGCGGACGGGUGAGUAACACGUGGGAACGUUCCCUUUGGUUCGGAACAACUCAGUGAAACUUGAGCUAAUACCGGAUGUGCCCUUCGGGGGAAACAUUUAUCGCCAUUGUAGCGGCCGGCGUCUGAUUAGCUAGUUGGUGAGGUAACGGCCCACCAAGGCGACGAUCAGUAGCUGGUCUGAGAGGAUGAUCAGCCACACUGGGACUGAGACACGGUCCAGACUCCUACGCGAGGCAGCAGUGGGGAAUCUUGCGCAAUGGGCGAAAGCCUGACGCAGCCAUGCCGCGUGAAUGAUGAAGGUCUUAGGAUUGUAAAAUUCUUUCAGCGGGGACGAUAAUGACGGUACCCGCAGAAGAAGCUCCGGCUAACUUCGUG
rnacentral:rRNA from 1 species